rnacentral:rRNA from 1 species
UACGUAGGGGGCAAGCGUUGUCCGGAAUCAUUGGGCGUAAAGCGCGUGUAGGCGGCCCGAUUAGUCCGCUGUGAAAGUCCAGGCUCAACCCUGGGAUGCCGGUGGAUACUGUCGGGCUCGAGUCCGGAAGAGGCGAGUGGAAUUCCUGGUGUAGCGGUGAAAUGCGCAGAUAUCAGGAGGAACACCAAUGGCGAAGGCAGCUCGCUGGGACGUGACUGACGCUGAGACGCGAAAGCGUGGGGAGCAAACAGG